rnacentral:rRNA from 1 species
UACGAAGGGGGCUAGCGUUGUUCGGAAUUACUGGGCGUAAAGGGCGCGUAGGCGGCUCGGCAAGUUGGAUGUGAAAGCCCAGGGCUCAACCCUGGAAUUGCAUUCAAGACUGCCUUGCUUGAAUUCGGUAGAGGUUGGUGGAAUUCCCAGUGUAGAGGUGAAAUUCGUAGAUAUUCGCAAGAACACCAGUGGCGAAGGCGGCUCACUGGCCCGGUACUGACGCUGAGGUGCGAAAGCGUGGGGAGCAAACAGG